rnacentral:tRNA from 2 species
UAAGCUGUGGUAGAUGUUUUCUGCAACAAUGGUUUGUUAAACCGUUUGCGCUUUGUGCAAAUCGGAGCAGAUUUC